rnacentral:ncRNA from 1 species
GGAGGGCAAGUCUGGUGCCAGCAGCCGCGGUAAUUCCAGCUCCAAAAGUAUAUAUUUAAGUUGUUGCGGUUAAAAAGCUCGUAGUUGGAUUUUGGGCGCAGGCGGCCGGUCCGUCGCAAGGCGUGUACUGGACGUCCUGGCCUUCCCUCCGGUUCUCCGCCGGUGCUCUUGACUGAGUGUCGGCGGCGGCCGGAACGUUUACUUUGAAAAAAUUAGAGUGUUCAAAGCAGGCUCUCGAGCCUGGAUAAUGGUGCAUGGAAUAAUGGAAUAGGACCUCGGUUCUAUUUUGCUUGGUUUUCGGAGCGCGAGGUAAUGAUUAAGAGGGACAGACGGGGGCAUUCGUACUGUGCCGUUAGAGGUGAAAUUCUUGGAUCGGCGCAAGACGAACGACUGCGAAAGCAUUUGCCAAGAAUGUUUUCUUUAAUCAAGAGCGAAAGUCAGAGGUUCGAAGACGAUCAGAUACCGUCCUAGUUCUGACUAUAAACGAUGCCAACUAGCGAUCGGGGGGCGUUACAUUGACGACCCCUCCGGCAGCUUACGGGAAACCAAAGUCUUUGGGUUCCGGGGGAAGUAUGGUUGCAAAGCUGAAACUUAAAGGAAUUGACGGAAGGGCACCACCAGGAGUGGAGCCUGCGGCUUAAUUUGACUCAACACGGGAAAUCUCACCCGGCCCGGACACAGUGAGGAUUGACAGAUUGAGAGCUCUUUCUUGAUUCUGUGGGUGGUGGUGCAUGGCCGUUCUUAGUUGGUGGAGCGAUUUGUCUGGUUAAUUCCGAUAACGAACGAGACUCUGGCUUGCUUAAUAGUUACGCGACCAUCCCGGUCGGCGUUUAACUUCUUAGAGGGACAAGUGGCGUUUAGCCACACGAGAUUGAGCAAUAACAGGUCUGUAAUGC